UACGGGGGGGGCAAGCGUUGUUCGGAAUUACUGGGCGUAAAGGGCUCGUAGGCGGCCAACUAAGUCAGACGUGAAAUCCCUCGGCUUAACCGGGGAACUGCGUCUGAUACUGGAUGGCUUGAGUUUGGGAGAGGGAUGCGGAAUUCCAGGUGUAGCGGUGAAAUGCGUAGAUAUCUGAAGGAACACCAGUGGCGAAAGCGGCUUCCUGGUCCAGUACCGACGUUCAGGCACGAAAGCGUGGGGAGCAAACAGG
rnacentral:rRNA from 1 species